ensembl:snRNA U2 U2 spliceosomal RNA
AUUGCUUCUCUGCCUUUUGGCUAAGAUCAAGCGUAGUAACUGUGAAGUGCAAAUCUUCCAGUAUCUCAUUCAUUUGGCAGCUUGAUCUAUGCACUUUGAGAGGAAAAAUACAAUUUCUUAUUUUGAGUAUAUUCUCUUUUUUCUAUUUGAUAUGUGCGGUUAGGUGCCUACACAUUCUCAAAUGGUUCAUCUUUUGCUGCAUAAUAUAGAUGGGCCACAUUUAU